UACGGAGGGUGCAAGCGUUAUCCGGAUUCACUGGGUUUAAAGGGUGCGUAGGCGGGCUAGUAAGUCCGUGGUGAAAUCUCCAAGCUUAACUUGGAAACCGCCGUGGAUACUAUUAGUCUUGAAUAUUGUGGAGGUAAGCGGAAUAUGUCAUGUAGCGGUGAAAUGCUUAGAUAUGACAUAGAACACCGAUAGCGAAGGCAGCUUGCUACACAAUCAUUGACACUGAGGCACGAAAGCGUGGGGAUCAAACAGG
rnacentral:rRNA from 1 species